rnacentral:rRNA from 1 species
AUUGAACGCUGGCGGAAUGCUUUACACAUGCAAGUCGAACGGCAGCACGGGGGCAACCCUGGUGGCGAGUGGCGAACGGGUGAGUAAUACAUCGGAACGUGCCCGGUCGUGGGGGAUAACGUAGCGAAAGUUACGCUAAUACCGCAUACGAUCUGAGGAUGAAAGCGGGGGACCUUCGGGCCUCGCGCGAUCGGAGCGGCCGAUGUCAGAUUAGGUAGUUGGUGGGGUAAAGGCCUACCAAGCCGACGAUCUGUAGCUGGUCUGAGAGGACGACCAGCCACAUUGGGACUGAGACACGGCCCAGCCCCCGACGGGAGGCAGCAGUGGGGAAUUUUGGACAAGGGGCGCAAGCCUGAUCCAGCCAUUCGGCGUGAAGGACGAAGGCUUGCGGGUUGUAAACUGCUUUUGUAUGGAACGAAAAGGCUCGGGCUAAGACCUGGGGCUCAUGAGGGUACCGUAAGAAGAAGCACCGGCUAACUACGU